rnacentral:rRNA from 1 species
CCUACGGGAUGCAGCAGUGAGGAAUAUUGGUCAAUGGGCGCGAGCCUGAACCAGCCAAGUCGCGUGAGGGAAGACGGUCCUAUGGAUUGUAAACCUCUCUUAAGGGGGAAGAGCAGAAGACGGUACCCCUUGAAUAAGCCACGGCUAACUACGUGCCAGCAGCCGCGGUAAUACGUAGGUGGCAAGCGUUGUCCGGAUUUACUGGGUGUAAAGGGCGUGCAGCCGGAGAGACAAGUCAGAUGUGAAAUCCACGGGCUCAACCCGUGAACUGCAUUUGAAACUGUUUCCCUUGAGUGUCGGAGAGGUAAUCGGAAUUCCUUGUGUAGCGGUGAAAUGCGUAGAUAUAAGGAAGAACACCAGUGGCGAAGGCGGAUUACUGGACGAUAACUGACGGUGAGGCGCGAAAGCGUGGGGAGCAAACAGGAUUAGAUACCCCGGUAGUC